UACAGAGGUCUCAAGCGUUGUUCGGAUUCAUUGGGCGUAAAGGGUGCGUAGGCGGCGCGGUAAGUCGGGUGUGAAAUCUCGGGGCUUAACUCCGAAACUGCAUUCGAUACUGCGGGUCUCGAGUCCGGGAGAGGUGAGUGGAAUUCCUAGUGUAGAGGUGAAAUUCGUAGAUAUUAGGAAGAACACCAGUGGCGAAGGCGGCUCACUGGCCCGGUACUGACGCUGAGGCGCGAAAGCGUGGGGAGCAAACAGG
rnacentral:rRNA from 1 species